CAGCCACACUGGAACUGAGACACGGUCCAGACUCCUACGGGAGGCAGCAGUGGGGAAUAUUGGACAAUGGGCGCAAGCCGACCAGCCAUACCGCGUGGGUGAAGAAGGCCUUCGGGUUGUAAAGCCCUUUUGUUGGGAAAGAAAUCCAGCCGGCUAAUACCUGGUUGGGAUGACGGUACCCAAAGAAUAAGCACCGGCUAACUUCUGCAGCAGCCGCGGUAAUACGAAGGGUGCAAGCGUUACUCGGAAUUACUGGGCGUAAAGCGUGCGUAGGUGGUUGUUUAAGUCUGUUGUGAAAGCCCUGGGCUCAACCUGGGAACUGCAGUGGAAAUGGAAACUAGAGUGUGGUAGAGGGUAGCGGAAUUCCCGGUGUAGCAGUGAAAUGCGUAGAGAUCGGGAGAACAUCCAUGGCGAAGGCAGCUACCUGGACCAACACUGACACUGAGGCACGAAAGCGGGGGACAAACAGGAUUAGAUCCCUGGUAGUCCACGCCCUAAACGAUGCGAACUGGAUGUUGGGUGCAAUUUGGCACGCAGUAUCGAAGCUAACGCGUUAAGUUCGCCGCCUGGGGAGUACGGUCGCAGACUGAACUCAAAGGAAUUGACGGGGGCCCGCACAAGCGGUGGAGUAUGGGUUUAAUUCGAUGCAACGCGAAGAACCUUACCUGGCCUUGACAUGUCGAGAACUUUCCAGAGAUGGAUUGGUGCCUCGGGAAUCGAACACAGGUGCUGCAUGGCUGUCGUCAGCUCGUGUCGUGAGAUGUUGGGUUAAGUCCCGCAACGAGCGCAACCCUUGUCCUUAGUUGCCAGCACGUAAUGGUGGGAACUCUAAGGAACCGCCGGGACAAACCGGAGGAAGGUGGGG
rnacentral:rRNA from 1 species